rnacentral:rRNA from 1 species
GAUGAACGCUGGCGGCGUGCCUAAUACAUGCAAGUCGAGCGAACAGACGAGGAGCUUGCUCCUCUGACGUUAGCGGCGGACGGGUGAGUAAAACGUGGAUAACCUACCUAUAAGACUGGGAUAACUUCGGGAAACCGGAGCUAAUACCGGAUAAUAUAUUGAACCGCAUGGUUCAAUAGUGAAAGACGGUUUUGCUGUAACUUAUAGAUGGCUCCGCGCCGCAUUGGCUGGUUGGUAAGGUAACGGCUUACCAAGGCAACGAUGCGUAGCCGACCGGAGAGGGUGAACGCCCACACGGGGACUGAGACGCGGCCCAGACUCCUACGGGAGGCAGAGGUAGGGAAUCUUGCGAGAUGGGCGAAAGCCUGACGGAGGAACGCCGCGUGGGUGAUGAAGGUCUUCGGAUCGUAAAACGCUGUUAUUAGGGAAGAACAAAUGUGUAAGUAACUAUGCACGUCUUGACGGUACCUAAUCAGAAAGCCACGGCUAACUACGUG